UCGCAAUUAGGGCACAAUUGUGGCUGU
rnacentral:sRNA from 1 species